GAUCACUGCAUUUCAUCCAUCACUUCAGUCUCUACAAGAUGAUUACAUUUCUCAUUUGCCAUUUCCUCACGGCAGGUGUUUCUCUGGGGGUUCAGGUCCACCAGUCUCCCUCUGCAGCCAUCAGAAAGGCCGGAGAAGACGUGCAGCUUUUCUGCACUCACGGACAAACCGACUACAGAGUGAUGCUGUGGUACCAGCAGCCCCCCGGGGACAAGGCUCUGGAACUCAUUGGAUAUGUAGAUUAUACUAAAAUAAGCAAUGAAGAAUUAUAUAAAGAGCAUUUCAAUAUCACUGGAGAUUUAAGUGGAAACACAGGAAAGAAUGGUUCUCUGUUUAUAGCAGACCUGAAGGCAUCUGAGCACAGUGCAGUGUACUUCUGUGCAGCUCGGUAUGCACCAUGAGACACAUCUCCUUUCAACUAAACAAAAACUUGGCACCAUAUUUUAUCAGCUGUGGUUUUUAUCUGAUUCCGAACGCUGCUGCUGAGUCCUCACCAACACUAAGAAAGUGGAGAACAUAACUCCAGUUCUGAGGUC